UACGUAGGGUGCAAGCGUUGUCCGGAAUUAUUGGGCGUAAAGCGCGCGCAGGCGGUCCUUUAAGUCUGAUGUGAAAGCCCACGGCUCAACCGUGGAAGGUCAUUGGAAACUGGGGGACUUGAGUACAGAAGAGGAAAGCGGAAUUCCAAGUGUAGCGGUGAAAUGCGUAGAGAUUUGGAGGAACACCAGUGGCGAAGGCGGCUUUCUGGUCUGUAACUGACGCUGAGGCGCGAAAGCGUGGGGAGCAAACAGG
rnacentral:rRNA from 1 species